CAUCAUUUCAACUUCCUGUAGGAAUUGGAUCGAUAACGAACAUCAUACUUUCGAUUUGACAAAACGUAAACAUAACUAUCAAAGAACUGGGAAGUGAUGUUUAUCAACCAUGUCGGGAGAAAGCUAUGAUUUCUACAUUUGCAAUCACGAGGCAGAUAAUGAUAAAGCAUUUCAAAUUCUGGAAACACUGGAGAAGAAAAAUGGACUAAAAGGUUUCCAUGACGAAAGAGAUGCCCAACCAGGGCAGUAUGUUAUUAGAAACAUUGAGAAGGCCAUAGAAAGUAGUCGGUUCAUUUUGCUGGUGUUAUCGGAGCAAUCUAUGGAGGAUGGAUGGUUUGAAAUGAAACUGAACACCGGACUGACACAUAGACUCUUCUCUGCACUCAGAGACAGCAUCAUACCUGUGUAUGUAGCGCCCUCUGAUGGAGAACUUACUGUGCCUACUGCCCUUAAUUCCAUCCGCGGGAUAGAUUAUAGUGAGGAUCCAAGAUUUUUCGAUAAAUUGUCAAAGAUAUUUUAAAAGACACUGUUGUAAACUUGAGCAAUUUCUAUGUAUUGAUCUCAUAAAUUACAGCAUGGAAUUAGAUUAGAUAUGGAGGAUGGAUGGUUUGAAAUGAAACUGAACGCCGGGUCUGACACAUAUAGACUCUUCUUUGCACUCAGAGACAGCAUCAUACCUGUGUAUGUAGCGCCCUCUGAUGGAGAACUUACUGUGCCUACUGCCCUUAAUUCCAUCUGCGGGAUAGAUUAUAGUGAGGAUCCAAGAUUUUUCGAUAAAUUGUCAAAGAUAUUUUAAAAGACACUGUUGUAAACUUGAGCAAUUUCUAUGCAUUGAUCUCAUAAAUUACAGCACAGAAUUAGAUUAGAUUUGCUAAUAUCUAUCAAGUUCGUGAUUACGUUUAUAAUUAUGUAUCAUUUAAUUACCAGCUGACAAAGGAUUAAAAAUCCUAUACAUA